rnacentral:misc_RNA from 1 species
CGCACAUUGCGCCCUUUGGUAUUCCGAAGGGCAUGCCUGUUCGAGCGUCAUUAUCCACCCUCAAGCCUGGCUUGUUAUUGGGUCUCUAUCGAUCAAACGAUGGGCCUCAAAGAUAAUGGCGGCGUCACAAUCGACCCCAAGUGCAGCGAGCUUUAAGCAUACACUGAGGCGGUUGUUGUGGCCCGGCCUUCUUGCUUCCUCACGGCAGCAUCAAACACAAGGUUGACCUCGGAUCAGGUAGGAAUACCCGCUGAACUUAA